rnacentral:rRNA from 1 species
AGAGUUUGAUCCUGGCUCAGGAUGAACGCUGGCGGCGUGCCUAACACAUGCAAGUCGAGCGAUUUACUUCGGUAAAGAGCGGCGGACGGGUGAGUAACGCGUGGGUAACCUGCCUCAUAUACAUGGAUAACAUACCGAAAGGUAUGCUAAUACAAGAUGAUAUAAGAGAUUCGCAUGGAUUUCUUAUCAAAGCUCCGGCGGUAUGAGAUGGACCCGCGUCUGAUUAGCUAGUUGGUAAAGUAACGGCUUACCAAGGCGACGAUCAGUAGCCGACCUGAGAGGGUGAUCGGCCACAUUGGAACUGAGACACGGUCCAAACUCCUACGGGAGGCAGCAGUGGGGAAUAUUGCACAAUGGGCGAAAGCCUGAUGCAGCAACGCCGCGUGAGCGAUGAAGGCCUUCGGGUCGUAAAGCUCUGUCCUCAAGGAAGAUAAUGACGGUACUUGAGGAGGAAGCCCCGGCUAACUACGUGCCAGCAGCCGCGGUAAUACGUAGGGGGCUAGCGUUAUCCGGAUUUACUGGGCGUAAAGGGUGCGUAGGUGGUUUCUUAAGUCAGGAGUGAAAGGCUACGGCUUAACCGUAGUAAGCUCUUGAAACUGGGAAACUUGAGUGCAGGAGAGGAAAGUGGAAUUCCUAGUGUAGCGGUGAAAUGCGUAGAUAUUAGGAGGAACACCAGUAGCGAAGGCGGCUUUCUGGACUGUAACUGACACUGAGGCACGAAAGCGUGGGGAGCAAACAGGAUUAGAUACCCUGGUAGUCCACGCCGUAAACGAUGAGUACUAUGUGUCGGGGGUUACCCCCCUCGGUGCCGCAGCUAACGCAUUAAGUACUCCGCCUGGGGAGUACGCUCGCAGAGUGAAACUCAAGGAAUUGACGGGGACCCG